AGGAAAGUAGAGAGGAGCCCGCAAGCCGCGCGGCGGAGGGCGCCGGGGCCCGGCCGCUGCUGGGACGGUGCCUCCUCCGCCGCGCCGCCCGCCGGCCGGCUCCGUGGGUCCGGUCGGGGCGCGGCGUCAGGCACGGGCGUCUCCCCGCCCAGGGCCACACCGGGGGGGGGGGGGACACCGAACUCCGGGGGUCGCCCUCGGCCGGGGCAGGGGCGGCCGGGCCCGCACGCUCGGACCCGCGCCCUCCGUGCGGCGGCGGCGGCGGCGGCGUGCGGGCGCCCCUGGCCGGGCGCGCCUCCUCCCCCACGCCCCGAGUCCCCGCCCGGCCUCCCCGCCGCGCCGCCCUCCCGCCCGGCCCUCGCCCGGUGCUCCCCACCCCCACCCCGAUGCGGCCGCGGGCCGCCCCGGAGCCGGCCCGGGGGGAGGGGAGGAGACGGGCGAGGGAGGGACGCGGCUCUCCGGCGGGCGGGUAGCUCUACCUGGGUCGAAUUCGGGGAUCCGAGCUUGGUAUUCGGCGCCGACUCUCAUCCCAACAUCUGCAAAGCAAGGCCAGGAAAUGUGUAAUGCAGGUGAUCUCAGGGGAAUAAAACAAGCAGACACAGAAAGGCAAAUGGCGUCUACUCUAAGAAGCAUCGGCUUUGUGGGAGGGAAAGGUAGGCUUGUCACUCGCACCUUCUGGUCCAGAGAAGAGGUCACAGCGGAAGCAGACUUGCUUUCUUGGCGCUUGGCCUUCACUCAUGCAGGUAAUCUCUGUGGCUGCCUUGGCUACUCAGUCCAUCCUGGUGAGGGCAGUAGAUGAGUUGGUCGGGGGACAGGGUGCACUGGUGGGGACUGGAUUGUGCCACAGAUGGCAUCUCCAUCCAGGAAGCAGAAAGAGGGCGGUUCGGGCUUGCAUCUUUUCUAACACUGCCUCCCCAGGCCUCACGGAGCCACCCAGGAGCUUACCAAGGGUUGUAUGUGAAUACUUCCUACCUCUGAUGGCCUGAAGACACCCGGAUGCCUCAUCCCUUAAAGUUUCCACCAUUUCCUGGUGCUACCACCUGGGAACCAAGCCUUUGAGAGCAACUACAUAACCUUCCCCACUCCUGCCCUUCUCUCCUCCCUACCUCCCUCCCUUCUUUGUUCUUUCUUUUAUUAUGCCUUACUGGAUUUAACUCGGUUUGCUUACAGGAACACAAAUGGAGGGGCAUAUUUACAGAAGCACGGGCACCUUACCUGUGGUUAAACCACAACAGAAAAUCUGUCUUCCUUUUCCAGUAAUCAUUAAUUGCAUUUAUAUCCUCCGGGAGGUGGGGGGACCUCAGCCUCCCCUUGGUCCCCCAUUGUAAUGGAGUUAAUGGGCCCAAUCAAAUCAUUUUCAGGUCUCAUGCUGAUAAUCAGGGCUGCUGAGAAGUCAAGAGUAUAACAAGCAGGCCAUACCUGCAAAAAGGUUGGAAUUUUUAACACUGCCUUUGAAAGCUGUCUGUGAGCCCCGAGAAUAUACACGAUUCAAGUCUGUGUCCUAACGUGGCUCUUACACCGGAAUGUCGAUGCAGAGUGGACACGUCCAAGUUAGUUACAGCUGGCUCAACAUCUGGCUCUUCGACAAAGACACUGGAAAGCAAAACAAGACCAAGCACCAAGCAUAUGAGACUUACUGUCGUAAGGACGCGUAUUCCCUGUGGGAGGAGGGUAAUUACGAGGUGUGGGCUAGGGGAUGUGUGAUGCUCAGUUUUAACUGUCAACUUGACACCACCUAGAAUCAGCAGAGAAGAGCGUCUUGGCGAGGAACUAUCCAGAUAAUGACGGCCUGUGGGAAUGCCUGUGGGGACUGUCUGGAUGGAUAACUUACGCAGCCCACCAUGGGCAGCACCGUCCCUAUGCUGCACCCUAAACUGUUUAAGAGUAUAAAAACGAUGUCAGCAUGGGUGUGACUUGACUGUGAAUGUGGUGUGACCAGAUGCCUCAAGGUCUUUCAUUUUUAAAAAAAAUUAUUUUACAUAUGUGGGUGUAUGUAUGUAUGUCUUUGUAUCAUGUGCAUGCAAUGCCCCAGGAGGCCAGAAGAGGGUAUCCUGGAACUGGAGUUACAGAUGGUUGUGAGCCAACACGUAGUUGCUGGGAAUCAAACCCUGAUCCUCUGGAGGAGCAGUGGGGCCCUUGAUGACAGAGUCAUCUCCCCAUCCCACCAUCUCAAGCUCUUGCCCCGUGACCUCCCUGUGAUAGUGGACGGUAGCUGGAACAGUAAAUCAAAUAAACUUUCCUUCCUAACUUGUGUUCUACCAUGUGUCCUAUCACAGCCACACAAAUGACACAGAACAGCAGGGUGGACUGAAGGCACAGAGCUGCUUGUGACCGAGCAAAGGUUAUGACAGAACAGCUUUACAGCGAGGCUAGAGUGUGCACACAGAUUUAGUAGCUCAUGAUCUUGUAGUUGGGUUUUUCGUUUGUUUGUGUGUUCACAGUGUUGUAUACAAGUAGGAACAGCCAUUUCUGGAUUCUUUCACGUAGGAGUGAGAUUUUUUAAUUUCAGUCUUUAUUGAUCGUGUCGUGCUGUGUGACCGAUGGCACCUGUCUCACACCCGGAACUGGAGCAGAGGGCCAGCCUCACCUCAGACAGGCAACUGCCCACCACCAGCCUGCAGCUGCACUUCGUGGGGACCAUUGAGCUUCAUCCGUCAGACUUCAUAGUUCCAGGAUCCAGGAAAGUCCCUCAAUGUGCUAACCUUGCUUUUUGGGUCUUGCCUCUUGCUAACUCUUCUUGCUCGCCGAAGUGUGUCAACCAGGAUGUGGUUUUGUCCAUAAAAGAAAAAGUGUGUUGAGUCUCAGGGCUGCGAGGCUCGGGCAUGAUCUGCUUCUGGCGCAGCACAGACUUUCUGUGAAGUUUUAAGAACAUCUGUGUGUGUCCCCUGGGGGAGCCACAUUGUGACAAUGGGGCGAAGGUUAGCCAAAUGAAAGUAAUUAUUUAAAGAAACUAAGCUGUCAGAGUAUCACAACAUCAGAACAAAGCAGGGCCUAAGAUGGCUGUUUUGAGGGGGGCUGGUUUUCAUCAGAACAAAGCAGGGUCUAAGAUGGCUGUUUUGAGGGGGGCUGGUUUUUGAGAUUAUUGUCUUUGUUUUAAAAAUAGUAUUUUUAUAUUUAUUCUUUAAAUAUUUCAUACGUGUCUACAGUGUUCUUUGAUCUUGUCCAUCCCCCACCACUUCCCGCCAGCUCUUCCUGGAACCAUCGUCCUCCCGCCAUGUCCUCCUUAACAUUAUUGUUAUCAUUCAUUACCCCCCAGCUUUGCUCAGUGCUGACCGUGGAUACUUGGACAGGGGGCCAUCCAACAGGACACAGGCAGCUAAAUCAGCAGCAGCAGCAGCCAAAAGUGACUCUGCACGCCUCAUCAGCUGUCGAUUGCCAAUAGCUCCUGAGCUGGGGGGAGGCUGUGCACCUUUCCCGUCUCUGCUGGAGUCCUGCCUGUCUUCCUACUGCACAGUCAGCGAGAGCUGCUGGGAGCUGAUGUGUGCGCAGCCACGUCGUCUCAGAAGGCAUCGUCCACGGCUCCCCUCCGCCUGCUCCCCCUUGGCGUUCCCUGAGCUUUGAUGGAGGGAGGCUGAAGAGAGGAGUCAUCCACCGUUGACUACUCCCAGCUGCUUUUGCUCAGCGCUUUGGCCAGUUAUGAGCCCCUAGCCGUUACCAUUUCCCACUGCGGAGAGAAACACCUGUGACCAGGCUGAGGGCAGUGCAGAUCUGUGGGUAUAGACGUAAAUAUUACGCAGAUGCUUUGACAACUGGAUCGUUUAAUGGAGCAUCACCAGAAGGUUCCCUUUCACUAGAGAGUGAUUUCAGAAAAUGCUGAUUGUGUUUGCUUCUGAAGAGCCAAGCAUAACUAGCCAGUUUUCUACAUUUACUGAUGAAUGUUCUUAUAUCCAACCCCACACACACUGAAGAAUAUUGCUUUAAGGACAUUUCAACCCAGAACACCCAUGGUUUCAGAACCGCCCUUGCUCCUCACAUCAGGUGCUUGGUUGAUUUUCUUUCUGCUGCCGUGUGAGUUUCUGGAGAUGCAAGCAGAGCAUGUCUGGUUGCAGAUAUGCUUCAUUAAUUGCAAGGCUAAUAGAACUGUGACUUCCCCAGGAAGCAGAAGUGGAAAGAUAAACAGAAAACUGAAGACAACACAUUCUGUUCAUGGACUUCAGAACCAGGACUCCUUAGCCAUUUACUUGCACCAGGCUUGGAGUUGAGGUCUCAGCUGGUCGCUGACUGUAAAACCUCAGCAAGGACGUCUGAGUGUCCUCAAGGUUUAAAGGCUCAGGCAGUCUCCAGGGAGGAGCUUUGCUUCCAGCUGCUACUGCCCUUCCUUAUUCUUCUGUGUGGCUCUGCUCUGGUCAUAGCGAUCAUUCUCCACAGGUGCUAAGCACAGAGAACAGAGUCAGCGUUUUCUCUGCUUAGGCUCAUUUAAUCCUCACUACGACAUUAAGGCCUGUAACCUUUGUAUUGCAGAGGAGAGAUUAGGUAACUGACAAAGGCUAGACCACUUAGUAGGUUGCAGAGGCAGCACUGGUGCAGGCCUGCUGGCUGACAGAUGCCUCCUGAAGCAGCACUGCGAGGUGGCAGGAAUGCAGGCCCUGGGCCUCCGGUCUGGGCUCAGUCUCAGCUGGGUGUAGCUUGGGGACAUUGUUGAGCCUCUCAGUUGCCUUCGUUAGGAAUGAGAUGGUUCACUCAGUUAAGCUCAGCAGGAGAUCUGGACGAGUGGUGUAGAGACCUGAACGCAGACGCUCCCUCAGAGAGCUCGAAGCUAAAACAGUGAGAAGAUGCUCCCGUCUGUCAGAAGAGCGGAAAUCCAGGGCAUUGGUGAUGGUGCGGGGCAGCGGAACGCCUACUCCCUGCUGGAGGGAAGGCAAAACAGUAUCAUCGUUUUUGGAAAAUGUUUGCUCGUUCUCGUAAAAAGAAACACAGCCAGCAGUUGUGGUCUUUAGUAUGUGUUCCGAUGAGUUGAGAACAUCUCCAUUACAGAACGUGAGCACCGACGUUUAUAACAGGUUAAUUCAUAGUUACCAAGACUCGGAGGCAGCUGAUAUGCCCUGCUAUAGGUGAGUGUGCUCGCCUGUACAGGGAAGCGGCUGAUACGGCCUGCAGUGUGUGAGUGUGCCACCUACACAAGGGAAUGCUACCCACAGAGCUUACACAAGGGCAUCUGAAGAACAGAUUGCUAAGCGAAAGAAGUCACAAUAAAAGACGGUCUAUUAAAUUUUAAAUUUCAACCACACGUCAUUCUGAAAAAGGCCAACUAAGCAAAGCAAAAGCAAUCAUUGGUUGCCAAGGACUAGAGGCACGCUUCUCAGCCUUCCCGAUGAUGCAGCUCCUCAUGAUGUGGUGACCUCCCCCCACCAGCAAAGUAUUUCAUUGCUUCUCCGUAACUGUAAUCUUGCCACUGUUAUGACUUGUACUGUAAACACAUGAUAUGCAGGAUACCUGACAUGUGACCCCUGUGAAAGGGUCACUUGACCCCCAUAGGGGUUGCAACCCUGGGAUGAGAGCCACUGACUUAGAGGGAAGAGGGAUGGAUGGAUGGGGGUCGCGGAAGUUACAGAUGUGGUAAACCUGUUUCAUGUGACACUGUGGAGCUAAAUGCAUGCCACUCUCCCCUUGUGAAAACUGAACUGUGCAUGUUGUAGAAUUUAGUUAAUAGUACAUCAGCAGCAGACUGGGCACAUACCUAACACGCACGAGGCCCUGGCCUCCAUCACCAGCCUGUAAAGGAAGAACCAGUGUUGGGGAAUCAGCGAUAAUAGAAGCACACCAGAGCGAGAUGUUAGUAACUGGGGAACUAGUAUGUGUAAUAAGAUUUGGGGUAGGAGUGUGGGGGCUGUCUGUAUUCCCUAACCUUUUUAAUAAACCAAAACAUGUCUAAGAGGAGAAAGGUUUAUGUGACCUGAGGAGAAAGCCGACCAUUAAAGCAUCUGUGAAGACUAAAUCUAUCGUGAAGGUGGGGUGCCUAAUCCAGCACUGGACAGACUGAGGCGGGGUGAUCAAGAGCGGAUGCCAGACUCGGAUACAUCCAUUCUAGGCCAGCCUGUGCUGCAAAGUGAGACUAUCUCAAUGACGAAGCAACACCAACAGAAAACACACAAGCCAAUUAUUUACAAAAGAGUAUUUCACACCCACCUACCCACAUAUAGGCACAAGCACAUGUGUAUGCGAAGGGUAAUUGUGAAUAUUUGUGAAUGAUAGUGCCUGUUACAUGCCGGGAGCUGUAUAGGUGG